CAGAGCAUUAUUCAGCAUAACAAAAACUUGGUAAAAUGUUUGUAUGGCUUAAAAAUUGGCAAUUUGAGGACACGGAGUGCUUUUAAAAGCCACUUCCAAAAAUAUGGCAAUCAUCUUCCCAUAAUAAUGAAAACGAUCUGACACAUCUGUGCUCAAUUUCUGCUUUGGAGGAUUGGGGCUGGAGACACAGGAGUGAAGUGGUAAAGUCACAGAGGACAAGCAAGCGGAGAAGGGACCGUGUACAUCAUCAACCUGAUGCCUCUGGACGUGCUAUGAAGCUCAGGAGCUGCCAGCGUCAGGGUCUGGGAGCUGCCAGUGGAUCUGAACAGCCCUGGACCUGACCCUGGAGUCUGCCUCUGACCCCAUGGGUGACUGCCUGACUCCAGCUCAUUGGGGGCACCCAUCCUAGCCACAUCUUUGCACUCACUCCUCCCCGCAAACCCUUCUGGGCAACACCAUUCCCAGGAGCCUUAGAGCGCCCCAGCCCAGGUCCCAGC